UAGGGAGUUCAGGCUAGACCUGUGUAUGCUCGUCGGCUGUUCCCCAUGUUCAGGAUUACGGCGAUUCGGCUGGCGGCUGCCGCCGGUCGGUGUGCCUAGACCGUCCGACGCAUCGCUCCUGGCCUCUCCGGUCUGUCUCCACGCCGGCAGCCGCAGCGUCGCGUCGCCCCAAUCUAGGCGUGAUUCUCCCGUCCGCCGCGGUUCCCACAUGCGCUCCCGUCCGCCGCACCUAGCCGCUGCCGCUGAGUCUUCCCCAGAUGUGUCGUCCUCCUUUGUUUCCACAGGGUAAGGCAAGCUCUCCCCCUUCAUGAUUUUCGAGAAUUUUGCUUGUUUCCGUUCUGAAUCGUGGAAUCCUAGGUGAUAAUUUGAUGAGAUGAGCAUGGGGCAGUUUGUCUUUCGCUAUUGUUUAUUCGUUGAUUACAUGUUGACAAAUCUCUUAACCAUCUCUGAGGGGGACAUCAUCAACAAAAAAUUGAAGUGGGUGAACAUAUGAUCAAAGGCAGGCCAACUGCACGGGUUAUAGUCAAAUCUCCCAUCCAUCUAUGGUGGGCAUCGUUGAAGCAGUAGCAGGUGCCGGCAAGGGAGAAGAUGGCGGGCAGGCUGAUUCCGCCCAUUGCACUAUAAAUAUGAAUCAAACGUCGACGGACUGGGUAUUGGAUUUCUUCAAUGGUCGAAUACACAUGCAACAGUUUGAUGGGGAAUGGUCUGUGGGCAAGGUUCUGAGCUCAUCAACAAACAUUGCCGUUCAUGGAGUGGAGAAGGAAUGAAGGUUGUCACGGCUGUUGGCGACGGUGACCAUAAAUCGAUGGCGAUACGAAUAUGGGGAGAUGGAGAAGUGGUUGGGGAUGUGCGCCUGCUCACCUUGGGCUUGAAGGAGAGGUCAAGGAGGUGUAGCGGUGCUCGGAGUUUGCCAAAAUUUUCCGUGGCGUCGGCGGCCAAAGCAUACGAAGGAAAGGUGGAGGGCAGUGCCUAGGCUCGGACAACGGAGGAGCUUGGGUGCUCCUGUGGCAUGGUCGACGAGGAAGAGGCGGCAGAGGCUCGCUUCCUCCGGCAGUGUGGUCCAUGAGGAAGAGGUGGCAGAGGAAGAGCUCCCGCCGAGAACGGAAACUGGAAUGUGGCGACGAGGCCAGGGUAGGAGCAACACAACAUUGCUCAACCCGUGCGUCGGCAGAGCGCAGUGGUAACGCGGAAGUAGGAGGGAGUUCCACGCAGAGCAGGGCGAACCCUGCGGGAUACCCCUGGCAACGAGUAGGUUCAGGUGGGGCGACCCCGCAGGAGCUCUUAGACAGCUAGCGGAGUGCAGGCGAACUAGGGGGAGCGGCAGAGCGGCGGACGGUGAGGACCGAGGAGGAUGGAGAAGAUCAAGUUUGAUUUUUGAAUUUGUAGACCUAAUUUGAACGGUUUUGAAUGUGUGAAGGAGUUUUUUUUUUUUUUUUUUUUUGCAAAA